UACGGGGGGAGCAAGCGUUGUCCGGAAUCAUUGGGCGUAAAGCGCGCGUAGGUGGUCCCGUAAGUCCGCUGUGAAAGUCAAAGGCUCAACCUUUGAAAGCCGGUGGAUACUGUGGGACUAGAGUACGGAAGAGGCGAGUGGAAUUCCUGGUGUAGCGGUGGAAUGCGCAGAUAUCAGGAGGAACACCAAUAGCGAAGGCAGCUCGCUGGGACGUUACUGACACUGAGGCGCGAAAGCGUGGGGAGCGAACAGG
rnacentral:rRNA from 1 species